UUUCGAUAGAAGAGCAGGGGUCCACCUUCAGGAAUUUGGGGCUCUGUUGAAGGUGUUGGUCCCCGCGGUGGGGGCUGAACCGCCCCGGGGCGUGAGGAGACAAAGAACUCCAGAUCCAAGCUGAUUCCUUCCCGAGUUGGAAGUCGGAGCCACCGCUGUCUUGUAGUAGAGGAGACGACUUUACCAUGAACAACUCAUAGAGACCACUGGGAUUUGGAGCAGGAAAGCAAGUAUAUAUCUUACGAGUAUAUAUCCGGUUCCCACUUGGCUAACUGGGAGGUUAGACCCAUGAGCCUGCUUUCAGUUCAAGGGGCUUUAUUUGGAGAGAAGAGAAAGAAGCAUGCUGUGAAACUACUUUCCUCUCAUGACCUUUACCAAGUCCUGGGGAGUGGAGACAUCAGAAGACUUCUCCAGUGAAGAAGUUGCUGUGGCUGAGGUCAAAGAGGUUGCUGCCUGU